AUACUUACCUGGCAGGGGAGGUACCAUGAUCACGAAGGUGGUUUUCCCAGAGCGAGACUUAUCCAUUGCACUCCAGAUGUUGACCCCUGCGAUUUCCCCAAAUGUGGGAAACUCGACUGCAUAAUUUGUGGUAGUGGGGGACUGCGUUCACACUCCCCCCUG
rnacentral:snRNA from 1 species